AAAGUACUUUUGGUUUAAGAGUUUCAAAGUAGUCUUAUUUAGAGUUUGUAUAAAUGAACCAAGAACUCCCCCUAUCCUAUCCAAAUGGAUGCCAAAUGAGUUUUAGCUUUGCUCCCCCUUACUCUUGUAUUUCAUUAAGACAAAAUUUUCAAAAGUUUGUGUCAAAGCAAGAGUUUCAAGUCAUGUAUCGAGGCAAGAAAAAUCUUAAUGAUUAUGUGCCAAAUUCAGAUUUUUUUCUUUGUCAAAUGUCUCCCCCUUAAGUGUAUAAUACAUGUCUCCCCC
rnacentral:lncRNA from 1 species